rnacentral:rRNA from 1 species
GCCCGGGUAUUACGAGCAUUAGCUUAAAACCCAAAGGACUUGGCGGUGCUUAAGACCCACCUAGAGGAGCCUGUUCUGUAACCGAUAAUCCCCGUUGAACCUCACCCUCUCUCGCUAAACUCCCGCCUAUAUACCGCCGUCAUCAGCCUACCCUUUGAUGGAUCAAUAGUAAGCAUAAUUGGUAUAACCCAAAAUGACAGGUCGAGGUGUAGCACAUGAGAGGGCAAGAAAUGGGCUACAUUCUCUGACAACAGAGCAUACGAAAAGUGUAUUGAAAACUUAUACUGGAAGGAGGAUUUAGCAGUAAGUGGUAAGUAGAGAGUUUCACUGAAGCCGGCUCUAAAGCGCGCACACACCGCCCGU